ACUCCUACGGGAGGCAGCAGUGGGGGAUGUUGCACAAUGGGCGAAAGCCUGAUGCAGCAACGCCGCGUGAAGGAAGACGGUUUUCGGAUUGUAAACUUCUAUCAGCAGGGAAGAACAAGUACCGUUCGAAUAGGGCGGUACCAUGACGGUACCUAACGAGGAAGCCCCGGCUAACUACGUGCCAGCAGCCGCGGUAAUACGUAGGGGGCAAGCGUUGUCCGGAAUUAUUGGGCGUAAAGCGCGCGCAGGCGGUUUUUUAAGUCUGAUGUGAAAUCUUGUGGCUCAACCACAAGCGGUCAUUGGAAACUGGAGAACUUGAGUACAGAAGAGGAGAGUGGAAUUCCACGUGUAGCGGUGAAAUGCGUAGAUAUGUGGAGGAACACCAGUGGCGAAGGCGACUCUCUGGUCUGUAACUGACGCUGAGGCGCGAAAGCGUGGGGAGCGAACAGGAUUAGAUACCCUGGUAGUCCACGCCGUAAACGAUGAGUGCUAGGUGUUAGGGGGUUUCCGCCCCUUAGUGCUGCAGUUAACGCAUUAAGCACUCCGCCUGGGGAGUACGGCCGCAAGGCUGAAACUCAAAGGAAUUGACGG
rnacentral:rRNA from 1 species